GGCCUGUUGGUCUAGUAGAGGUAUGAUUCUCGCUUCGGGUGCGAGAGGUCCCGGGUUCAAUUCCCGGACAGGCCC